rnacentral:rRNA from 1 species
UACGAAGGGAGCUAGCGUUUUUAGGAAUUACUGGGCGUAAAGGGCGCGUAGGCGGUUUAGUAAGUCAGAUGUGAAAGCCCCGGGCUUAACCUGGGAACAGCAUUUGAUACUGCUAGACUAGAGAUCGAAAGAGGAGAGUGGAAUUGCGAGUGUAGAGGUGAAAUUCGUAGAUAUUCGCAGGAACACCAGUGGCGAAGGCGACUCUCUGGUUCGAUACUGACGCUAGGGCGCGAAAGCGUGGGGAGCAAACAGG